GAGGGAUCGGCCCGCGUUAGAUUAGUUAGUUGGUGGGGUAAUGGCCUACCAAGACUACGAUCUAUAGCUGGUUUGAGAGGAUGAUCAGCAACACUGGGACUGAGACACGGCCCAGACUCCUACGGGAGGCAGCAGUGGGGAAUCUUAGACAAUGGGGGCAACCCUGAUCUAGCGAUGCCGCGUGAGUGAUGAAGGCCUUAGGGUCGUAAAGCUCUUUCGCCUGUGAUGAUAAUGACAGUAGCAGGUAAAGAAACCCCGGCUAACUCCGUGCCAGCAGCCGCGGUAAUACGGAGGGGGUUAGCGUUGUUCGGAAUUACUGGGCGUAAAGCGCACGUAGGCGGAUUAGUCAGUCAGAGGUGAAAUCCCAGGGCUCAACCCUGGAACUGCCUUUGAUACUGCUAGUCUUGAGUUCGAGAGAGGUAAGUGGAAUUCCGAGUGUAGAGGUGAAAUUCGUAGAUAUUCGGAGGAACACCAGUGGCGAAGGCGGCUUACUGGCUCGAUACUGACGCUGAGGUGCGAAAGUGUGGGG
rnacentral:rRNA from 1 species